GGAUUGUGGCUCAAGCGGUAGCACGCUCGCCUGGCAUGCGCGGGGUACUGGGUUCAAUCCUCAGCACCA
rnacentral:tRNA from 1 species